rnacentral:rRNA from 1 species
GAAAACCAGAAGCUCAACUUCUGGCCUGCAGUGGGUACGGGCAAACUAGAGUGCGGUAGGGGAGAACGGAAUUCCUGGUGUAGCGGUGGAAUGCGCAGAUAUCAGGAGGAACACCGAUGGCGAAGGCAGUUCUCUGGGCCGUUACUGACGCUGAGGAGCGAAAGCGUGGGGAGCGAACAGGAUUAGAUACCCUGGUAGUCCACGCCGUAAACGGUGGGUGCUAGCUGUGGGCCACAUUCCACGUGGUCCGUGACGAAGUUAACACAUUAAGCACCCCGCCUGGGGAGUACGGCCGCAAGGCUAAAACUCAAAGGAAUUGACGGGGGCCCGCACAAGCGGCGGAGCAUGCGGAUUAAUUCGAUGCAACGCGAAGAACCUUACCAAGGCUUGACAUAUAGAGGAAAAGUACAGAAAUGUGCUCCCCGUAAGGUCUCUAUACAGGUGGUGCAUGGUUGUCGUCAGCUCGUGUCGUGAGAUGUUGGGUUAAGUCCCGCAACGAGCGCAACCCUCGUCCUAUGUUGCCAGCACGUUAUGGUGGGAACUCAUGGGAUACUGCCGGGGUCAACUCGGAGGAAGGUGGGGAUGACGUCAAAUCAUCAUGCCCCUUAUGUCUUGGGCUUCACGCAUGCUACAAUGGCCGGUACAGAGGGCUGCAAUACCGUAAGGUGGAGCGAAUCCCAAAAAGCCGGUCUCAGUUCGGAUUGAGGUCUGCAACUCGACCUCAUGAAGUCGGAGUCGCUAGUAAUCGUAGAUCAGCAACGCUACGGUGAAUACGUUCCCGGGCCUUGU